CCUACGGGUGGCAGCAGUGAGGAAUAUUGGUCAAUGGACGGAAGUCUGAACCAGCCAUGCCGCGUGCAGGAAGACGGCUCUAUGAGUUGUAAACUGCUGUUGUACAAGGGUAAACCUGAAUACGUGUAUGCAGCUGAAAGGACGGUACGAAUAAGGAUCGGCUAACUCCGUGCCAGCAGCCGCGGUAAGACGGAGGAGCCAAGCGUUCUCCGGAUGUAUGGGGUUUACAGGGUGCGUAGGCGGAUUGAGAAGUGAGAGGUGAAAUGUCCGAGCUUACCUCGGGAACUGCCUCUAAUACUGUUGAUCUAGAUCGUAGCUGCGGUAGGCGGAAUGUUUGUUGUAGCGG
rnacentral:rRNA from 1 species